UGAACGCUGGCGGCAUGCCUUACACAUGCAAGUCGAACGGCAGCGCGGGCUUCGGCCUGGCGGCGAGUGGCGGACGGGUGAGUAAUGCAUCGGAACGUGCCCAGGAGUGGGGGAUAACGUAGCGAAAGUUACGCUAAUACCGCAUACGUACUGAGGUAGAAAGCGGGGGAUCGAAAGACCUCGCGCUCAUGGAGCGGCCGAUGUCGGAUUAGCUAGUUGGUGGGGUAAAAGCUCACCAAGGCGACGAUCCGUAGCUGGUCUGAGAGGACGACCAGCCACACUGGGACUGAGACACGGCCCAGACUCCUACGGGAGGCAGCAGUGGGGAAUCUUGGACAAUGGGGGAAACCCUGAUCCAGCAAUGCCGCGUGUGGGAUGAAGGCCCUCGGGUUGUAAACCACUUUUGGCAGGAAGAAAUCGCCUGUGCUAAUACCACGGGCGGAUGACGGUACCUGCAGAAUAAGCACCGGCUAACUACGCGCCAGCA
rnacentral:rRNA from 1 species